AGUUAGCUGUCUUGUCUCCUUGAUGGCUGCUGUCUCAACAUAAGUUCUCAGCUCCUGCUCUAGAGCCAUGCUUGCCUGUUUCCAUGCUUCUCCAGACGAUGGUCAUGAACUCUGCUGCCCUCCGGAAUCAUGAGCCCCAGACUAAAUGCUUUCUUACAUAUGCUCACACGAUCUGAAAUUCGCUGCUGUGAAAACAGAAGGAAACGGUCCUGUCAGGAGAACCAGCCCCUGCAGUUCCCUAAGGCUGGCACAAUGGAGGAAGGUUCCUCUCCGCCUGAGUUCCUACCUCGGUGAUGGACUCCGUGAUGGACUAUGAUCCUGACACCCACAACUAAGAUCCGGCAGGUGCUUGCAGACAGUGACAUCUUGUGGGAAAUCUCAGGAACUGCACCGUGGCAAAUCGCUGCUCCUUUUACUGUGGGGUCCUUGGAAUACCCAGUCAACAUCAAGGAAGCAUUCAUUCAUUCACUGCCUUCUGUGUACAAGGAACUGAUCCAAGUCCUGGAAUAAAGAAAGCAAGAGAGACUGGAUGGCUACACGGGGAGUGAAAAAAUUCCCAAGGAUUAUAACCUUGUCAUUACUGCUCAACUUUAAAUAUAUUUUGUGUGUGUG
ensembl:processed_transcript 2410003L11Rik RIKEN cDNA 2410003L11 gene